rnacentral:rRNA from 1 species
UAGGUCAUUGUGUGCCGCCGCCGCGGUCCUACGUCUGGCGCAAGCGUUAUCCGGCUUUCCUGGGUGUACAGGGCGUGUAGGUGGCCAUGCAAGUCAGAAGUGAAAAUCCGGGGCUCCACCCCGGAACUGCUUUUGAAACUGUAAGGCUGGAGUGCAGGAGGGGUGAGUGGAAUUCCUAGUGUAGCGGUGAAAUGCGUAGAUAUUAGGAGGAACACCAGUGGCGAAGGCGGCUCACUGGACUGUAACUGACACUGAGGCUCGAAAGCGUGGGGAGCAAACAGG